rnacentral:rRNA from 1 species
GAUGAACGCUAGCUACAGGCUUAACACAUGCAAGUCGAGGGGUAACGAGAGGAAAGCUUGCUUUCCUUGUCGACGACCGGCGCACGGGUGAGUAACGCGUAUCCAACCUGCCCCCAACUAAGGAAUAACCUUGCGAAAGUAAGACUAAUACCUUAUAAUCUCCUCAGAUGUCAUCUGACGAGGAAUAAAGAUUUAUCGGUUGUGGAUGGGAUGCGUCUGAUUAGCUUGUUGGCGGGGUAACGGCCCACCAAGGCAACGAUCAGUAGGGGUUCUGAGAGGAAGGUCCCCCACAUUGGAACUGAGACACGGUCCAAACUCCUACGGGAGGCAGCAGUGAGAAAUAUUGGUCAAUGGGCGAAAGCCUGAACCAGCCAAGUAGCGUGCAGGAUGACGGCCCUAUGGGUUGUAAACUGCUUUUAUACAGGAAUAAAGUUAGCCACGUGUGGUUAUUUGUAGGUACUGUAUGAAUAAGGACCGGCUAAUUCCGUGCCAGCAGCCGCAGUAA